UACGUAGGUGGCAAGCGUUGUCCGGAUUUAUUGGGCGUAAAGCGCGCGCAGGUGGUGCGGUAAGUCUGCCGUGAAAUCUCCCGGCUCAACUGGGAGGGGGCGGUGGAGACUGCCGGACUGGAGGGACUCAGAGGCCGGUGGAAUUCCCGGUGUAGUGGUGAAAUGCGUAGAGAUCGGGAGGAACACCAGUGGCGAAGGCGGCCGGCUGGGGGUGCCCUGACGCUGAGGCGCGAAAGCGGUGGGGAGCGAACCGG
rnacentral:rRNA from 1 species